UGGGGAAUAUUGCACAAUGGGGGAAACCCUGAUGCAGCGACGCCGCGUGAACGAAGAAGGUAUUCGUAUCGUAAAGUUCUGUCCUAUGGGAAGAUAAUGACAGUACCAUAGAAGAAAGCUCCGGCUAAAUACGUGCCAGCAGCCGCGGUAAUACGUAUGGAGCGAGCGUUGUCCGGAAUUAUUGGGCGUAAAGGGUACGCAGGCGGUUUAAUAAGUCGAAUGUUAAAGAUCGGGGCUCAACCCCGCAAAGCAUUGGAAACUGAUAAACUUGAGUAGUGGAGAGGAAAGGGGAAUUCCUAGUGUAGUGGUGAAAUACGUAGAUAUUAGGAGGAAUACCAGUAGCGAAGGCGACUUUCUGGACACAAACUGACGCUGAGGUACGAAAGCGUGGGGAGCAAACAGG
rnacentral:rRNA from 1 species